rnacentral:rRNA from 1 species
UACGGAGGGGGCUAGCGUUGUUCGGAAUUACUGGGCGUAAAGCGCGCGUAGGCGGCUUUGCAAGUUAGAGGUGAAAGCCUGGAGCUUAACUCCAGAACUGCCUUUAAAACUGCAUCGCUAGAAUCGUGGAGAGGUGAGUGGAAUUCCGAGUGUAGAGGUGAAAUGCGCAGAUAUCAGGAAGAACACCCGUGGCGAAGGCGGUUCUCUGGGACGGUACUGACGCUGAGACGCGAAAGCGUGGGGAGCAAACAGG